CGGGGUGAGUAAUGUCUGGGAAACUGCCUGGUGGAGGGGGAUAACUACUGGAAACGGUAGCUAAUACCGCAUAACGUCGCAAGACCAAAGAGGGGGACCUUAGGGCCUCUUGCCAUCGGAUGUGCCCAGAUGGGAUUAGCUAGUAGGUGGGGUAAUGGCUCACCUAGGCGACGAUCCCUAGCUGGUCUGAGAGGAUGACCAGCCACACUGGAACUGAGACACGGUCCAG
rnacentral:rRNA from 1 species